GCUUAAUUUGACCCAACGCAGGAAAACUUACCAGGUCCGUACAUAGGGAGGAUUGACAGAUUGAUAGCUCUUUCUUGAUUCUAUGGGAGGUGGUGCAUGGCCGUUUCUAGUUCGUGAGUUGACUUGUCAGGUUAAUUCCGGUAACGAGCGAGACCUCAACUCCUAGCGAGCUCAGUACGUUGAAUAUCCGGUGUAGACUUGGGUACAACCAAGAUCCACGAAGGGAGUAGCUUGGUGAAGGCAAUCCGGGUAUGGGCCAGGACCGAGCAUUACGAAAUGAGCAUCCUAGGAGGACGCUUGGUGGGAAACCAAGGGAGGCAUGAGGCGAUAGCAGGUCUGUGAUGCCCUUAGAUGUGCUGGGCCGCACGCGUGUUACACUG
rnacentral:rRNA from 1 species